GAGGAAUCGAGAAUCAUAGUUCAGCAAGAGACCUGGGCUUAUUCUAGUGGUACUGGUUCCUGGGAACACAGAAACUCUCGGUGUUUUUGUCAAUCUGCAUGUGCCCGUCUUGGAACAGCUCAGUGAAAGAAGGAAACUGGCUAAACAAGUUUCAGAGGUGAACCUGCUGGUAACUGUACCUCUGGUUUAUCGUGAAUAAUGAAGACGUCCCGCCAUCCAGGGCGCGGGUCACAGAACUGCGUGGAGCCAAUUGCCCAGCAAACCAAAGACUACAGCACCUGCCCAGUAAUCUCAUCGGGGAAACAAACAAAGUUGAGAAUGAGGUCAGCGGCAGGUGUCCUCUGCAUGGCAGGAUGCAGAGCAAGUGAAGAAGUUGGGAAUCUGCUUAAGAGUUUAAGUGAUCAUAGGACCUGAACAUACUUCAGUGCUCAUUCAAUCAACUGCCUUCAUUUUACAAAAGAGGAAAGAGAAGAAAGGUGGUAACUUGUCUGAGGUCACAUAGUGAGUUCAUGACAGCCUGGAUGAUAUUUGGGUCUUCCGACACCCAGUCCUGCGUACUGUAACUAUAAGAAAAUGCACACUCUGAAUGUCCAGGCCGGAUGGGACCUCUGGCCCAAUUUCAGGUAACAGACAUUUUCACAAUCUUUCCUGAAUGGAAGGACCAUGUCAAGUUAAUUCCAUUGAACCCCUGGAGGAAUGAAGAAGGGAUUCAGAAACUAGGUCUCUGAACCUAAGGUCAAAGCUUGAGUCGUUGUUCUUUCUUUCCAGGGCUGAUUUGGACUCUUCAUUUCAGAUGAUGAUCAGUAUGUAGGCACCUGUUGUGGAGAAGCCAGGUCACUGCCCCUGCUCUCUCUGGCUGGCUCUCAUUUGCUGGAGGCUUUGUAAUUUGAAACAAUGCACCUUAGGCUGAAUGUUGGGGAACUCUGAGCUGGGGGUAGGAGUGUCACAGAAAAGGGGGAAAGGAUAGCUAAACGCUAAUUAAGCAUUAAAUAUUUUUUUAAUUUGCAAUUUUCUCUGUGUAUUUUGGAACCUGUAACUUCCCCCUGACUCAGAUAAUUCCUUAGUCUCUGAGAAGCUCACGGGCCCUAGGCACUAUGCUUGUAGAGCCUGUGGGGUGAGG
ensembl:lncRNA